rnacentral:rRNA from 1 species
AUCAGCCUUUUGGGUGUGAUUUUGUGGAACGUGAGGAGUUAAACGCCUUCAUGCCUGCAUAUUCGUGCACUUUGGGUGUACUUGCCCGUGUGGUUGGUUAACAUCAAUUUUGGUUAUCAUAAAAUGACUGGAGGAAUGUAGCUUCGAUCUCGUAUUGAAGUGUUAUAGCCUUCGGUAGAUGUGAUGAUCGAGAUUGAGGAUUGCAACGGAUACCCUUCGGGGCUACCUGUCUGGUCUCUGAUCGUUGCUCUGGUACCGAAAGCUUGCUUACGGUUAUCAAAGUCGAUGGUCAAUAGGUUAGAACGGGUUAAAUUCGUUAAGGAUGUUGACGUAAUGGCUUU